AACCUGCUGUCUGUUGGUGCCAGUUGGUCUUUGCCUGCCAGCUGGUGGGACACAGCCAGGCCAGGGCGAUGGCCACGGAGCGAGAGUUCUCGUCCCUGCGCUUUCCACAGAAGCUUUGGAAAAUGCUGGAAAGUGGCAAGUUUCAGUCCAUUUGGUGGACUGAGGGUGGAAAAUGCGUGGCCAUCAACAAAGAUCUCUUUGAAGUGGAGGUGCUGGGCAGGGAAGGACAGCAGGUCUUCCACACACAGAAAAUUAGAAGUUUCAUGCGGCAGCUGAAUGCAUAUGGAUUCACCAAAAUGCAGUGGAAUUUCCAAAGAUCUGCCUCCCUGCCCGAAUUCCUGGCAGAGGAAGCAGCAGCUUCUGCUCACAGCCAGAUCCUCUACUACUAUAACCCCAGCUUCAACAGAGCACAUCCCUGGCUGUCAGAAACGUGCAAGAGGAGAGGUGUCCUGAAAGGAAGGGAUCCAUAUGCAGAAGAGGUGGAGGAAAGGCCCCUUUAGAAGCUCAGAUGGUCACCCCAAGCUUCACGGAGAGGCAGAGCUGGGCUCCACACAGGCGCCUGGGAGAGAGCAGUCACUGUCCAGUCCAUAGCAUUAAUAGUGCUGUUCCUGGAUAGGGAAGAAUUGCGUUGGAAUAAAUAGAUUUGAGUUGGUAUUAAA